rnacentral:lncRNA from 1 species
AAGUUUCAGAAAGUUCGUCAAGUGUGGUUGCUACAAAAUAUGUAUAAUAAAUUGCAGAAAUUGCUGGUUCUAAAGUUAAGCGUGCUACUCAAGUUUUAAAAAUGCUAUCAUAGCAUAUUGGAUUUUUAUAUCGAACUACGAAACACAAAGUUUUAACAAACUUGGAGUACAUUUUUUUUU